UUCUUCAGUAGCUCAGCUAGGUAGAGCAAGUGGCUGUUAACUACUUGGCCGUUGGUUCAAAUCCAGCCUGAAGAGA
rnacentral:tRNA from 1 species